CUCAGGACGAACGCUGGCGGCGUGCCUAAUACAUGCAAGUCGUACGCUUCUUUUUCCACCGGAGCUUGCUCCACCGGAAAAAGAAGAGUGGCGAACGGGUGAGUAACACGUGGGUAACCUGCCCAUCAGAAGGGGAUAACACUUGGAAACAGGUGCUAAUACCGUAUAACAAUCGAAACCGCAUGGUUUUGAUUUGAAAGGCGCUUUCGGGUGUCGCUGAUGGAUGGACCCGCGGUGCAUUAGCUAGUUGGUGAGGUAACGGCUCACCAAGGCCACGAUGCAUAGCCGACCUGAGAGGGUGAUCGGCCACAUUGGGACUGAGACACGGCCCAAACUCCUACGGGAGGCAGCAGUAGGGAAUCUUCGGCAAUGGACGAAAGUCUGACCGAGCAACGCCGCGUGAGUGAAGAAGGUUUUCGGAUCGUAAAACUCUGUUGUUAGAGAAGAACAAGGAUGAGAGUAACUGUUCAUCCCUUGACGGUAUCUAACCAGAAAGCCACGGCUAACUACGUGCCAGCAGCCGCGGUAAUACGUAGGUGGCAAGCGUUGUCCGGAUUUAUUGGGCGUAAAGCGAGCGCAGGCGGUUUCUUAAGUCUGAUGUGAAAGCCCCCGGCUCAACCGGGGAGGGUCAUUGGAAACUGGGAGACUUGAGUGCAGAAGAGGAGAGUGGAAUUCCAUGUGUAGCGGUGAAAUGCGUAGAUAUAUGGAGGAACACCAGUGGCGAAGGCGGCUCUCUGGUCUGUAACUGACGCUGAGGCUCGAAAGCGUGGGGAGCAAACAGGAUUAGAUACCCUGGUAGUCCACGCCGUAAACGAUGAGUGCUAAGUGUUGGAGGGUUUCCGCCCUUCAGUGCUGCAGCUAACGCAUUAAGCACUCCGCCUGGGGAGUACGACCGCAAGGUUGAAACUCAAAGGAAUUGACGGGGGCCCGCACAAGCGGUGGAGCAUGUGGUUUAAUUCGAAGCAACGCGAAGAACCUUACCAGGUCUUGACAUCCUUUGACCACUCUAGAGAUAGAGCUUCCCCUUCGGGGGCAAAGUGACAGGUGGUGCAUGGUUGUCGUCAGCUCGUGUCGUGAGAUGUUGGGUUAAGUCCCGCAACGAGCGCAACCCUUAUUGUUAGUUGCCAUCAUUUAGUUGGGCACUCUAGCAAGACUGCCGGUGACAAACCGGAGGAAGGUGGGGAUGACGUCAAAUCAUCAUGCCCCUUAUGACCUGGGCUACACACGUGCUACAAUGGGAAGUACAACGAGUCGCGAAGUCGCGAGGCUAAGCUAAUCUCUUAAAGCUUCUCUCAGUUCGGAUUGUAGGCUGCAACUCGCCUACAUGAAGCCGGAAUCGCUAGUAAUCGCGGAUCAGCACGCCGCGGUGAAUACGUUCCCGGGCCUUGUACACACCGCCCGUCACACCACGAGAGUUUGUAACACCCGAAGUCGGUGAGGUAACCUUUUGGAGCCAGCCGCCUAAGGUGGGAUAGAUGAUUGGGGUGAAGUCGUAACAAGG
rnacentral:rRNA from 1 species